UAUAAAUUUGUUUCCACAUGUAUGAUUUUAUCAUUAUAUUAUAAUUAUUUUUAACAGAUUCCUGAAUUUCAUAUCAGCUGACAAUAAGGGAAGAGGUGUUCUAGUCAAGACCAGGGAAAAUUUAUUUCCACACAAUUUUGUGUGAUGGUGCUGUUGAUGCAGGUGUGACUGAACAAUAGAUGGUGUUUUGUAGAGUCUUGGAUAUUAUUUACCCUAGAAACCUUUCUCAUAGCAGACAAGUUCUGGAACAUUAUUUUCUUCCAGUACAGUAUUAAACAGGAUGGGCUUUGACCCAAAAGACUUCCAUUGAGAGUGGCCUGCCUUUAAAGAGUACAUUGUACAUAGGUGGCAGGUUUAUAGUGAAUUAAAAAAAAAAAAGACGUGUACCGAUUUGUUUCAAAGCUAGGAGACCAGACAAAGAUUAGAAUACAUACAAUAAUGCUAACUGAAAUUGCCUUGUUCAGCCUGUCUACUUCUCAGGUGGAGGGAGGAUACAGUGCUCUCAAAAGAAUCAAAUCUGACUGGAGGUCAAGUUUGGGGAAUAUUAUGCUUAAGUUAACAAAUUUUUGACGGCAGUUUUAAGGGGCCAAGUUUUGAUGAUCAUUUAGUCAAGGAAUCUAUCAACCCCUGGGUGGCAGGGAAAACAGCACAAUUUUGAACUUGGAAAUUGAUUUAGUUUUCUGAUUGUCAUAUCCAGGUAAAUGACCUGACCAUUGAAGAUUCUAGGGAAAUAAAAAAUUGAAACAUACUUGUAUACUAUACUGAAGUUUUUUUUUUCAUUUUUAAUGCAUUUUACUUUGAUAUGUAUUUAAUUACAAAUUAUAUUCAAGAAUUUUCAGCUGGGGAAGAUCUUAUUUGUAUGUCAGUUUUGGCUAAAGUAAUAUUCAUAACUUGAUGGGGCAGGUGCUUCUCCUGCCCCCAGAAUAGACGGAUCAAGUUGGCCAAAGAGUUUAUUGCAGCCUUGUUAACUGCUUUGAUUUAAAAGGCAAACUUUGAAAAAGUUCAGUGCAUAUUCAUGAGGCUGAAUGAACAUUUCCCAGGAACAGUGUUUUAAGGACACCAGUUUACUUAGUUUUGUUUAUUACACAGAUUUUAAUAUUUUGCAUGUAAAUUUAAAUAGAUUAGGGAUUUUUCAAAUUAUAAUUGGAAGGGUCUCAUUUUAAAUAGUUUAAUAUGUAAGAGACAAAAAUAGUACUAGUACAUAGAAAUAAAUCUUGAGCAGUAAAAUAAGAGAACAAGGCAUAAGUGCAGAUCUUAUGAAUAAACUGGUGUUGAAUGAUUUUUUUUUUUAAUUAUCAAAACCCUUUCAGGCUUUAAAAAGUACAACCUGGCCAUAGGCCAGUACUUCAUUGUACAGUAAAUAUAUAUCCAAAUAAAAAAAUUGUGUUUUAUUUAUAACUAGAUCUAGCAAUAUCUUCCUAUAUUAGUCAAAAUUCACACUGGAUUUCUUGUGGCGUGGAUCAUAACUAUACCAUUUUUGAUGUUUUCAGAAUGAAGCAUAUAACUCUUGGAAUAAAUCUGAUGUUUGAUGUACA